GUGAUAGCUUUUUGUGUUCCGACCACUUUGAACCCUCUUGCUUUCAGAAGAAAAGUAAAAAUUAUAUAACUUUACAAAAAGGCAGUAUCCCAACGUUAUUUGGUGAAAACUUGCAGCAGACCGAAUUUCAGGAUGAAUCCGAUCGGCCCACCACAGUGAAUCUCCACUUUGAUGAUCAAUGGAUGGUAAAUGGAU